CAGUGGAGUGUGUCUGGGUCAGCUGAGUGACUACAUCAAAGCUCCCAGCCUUGAAAAACACAUGCUGUUCCCAGGCCUCAAGAUAUUGAAACAUUAAUUAGAUAAUUUAAAGUAGCGUUUUCUUCUACAAUGUCUGAAGAAGUGACCUACGCGACACUCACAUUUCAGGAUUCUGCUGGAGCAAGGAAUAACCGAGAUGGAAAUAACCUAAGAAAAAGAGGGCAUCCAGCUCCAUCUCCCAUUUGGCGUCACGCUGCCCUGGGUCUGCUAACUCUUUGCCUGAUGUUGCUGAUUGGGCUGGUGACGUUGGGGAUGAUGUUUUUGCAGAUAUCUAAUGACAUUAACUCAGAUUCAGAGAAAUUGAGUCAACUUCAGAAAACCAUCCAACAGCAGCAGGAUAACUUAUCCCAGCAACUGGGCAACUCCAACAACUUGUCCAUGGAGGAGGAAUUUCUCAAGUCACAGAUCUCCAGUCUACUGAAGAGGCAGGAACAAAUGGCCAUCAAACUGUGCCAAGAGCUAAUCAUUCAUACUUCAGACCACAGAUGUAAUCCAUGUCCUAAGAUGUGGCAAUGGUACCAAAAUAGUUGCUACUAUCUUACAACAAAUGAGGAGAAGACCUGGGCUAACAGUAGAAAGGACUGCAUAGACAAGAACUCCACCCUAGUGAAGACAGACAGUUUGGAAGAAAAGGAUUUUCUUAUGUCACAGCCAUUACUCAUGUUUUCGUUCUUUUGGCUGGGAUUAUCAUGGGACUCCUCUGGCAGAAGUUGGUUCUGGGAAGAUGACUCUGUUCCCUCUCCAUCCUUGUACGUCUCUAACUAUUGAGGGUAAACACAAGCUUUCCAUGGAAUCCUGGGAAAAUUAAUAAUGAUUGUGAGAAUUAUAAAUACAGACAUAAAAAGAGGAGUACAACAUACUGAGAAAAGAGCUCCAGUAACAAAUAUUGAAAGGAGGUCCCAAAGAACUUCAAGUACUUCUAAUAUAAGCUGAACUGAGUAGAUUUCAUUAAUGGAAUUCCAUAUUUAUGAAGGAAAUACAAAUUCUCAGUCCAGGAUUUAAGUAUUUCUCUUAAAGAAUUCUACCUGGGAUCAUGAUUAACUUAAAGAACCCAGAUGUGCCAGCUCUGGACAGAUUUUGUGCCAGCUUUAGGCAGCUUCAGAUUUUGAAGCUUUGUGGAGGCAGAAGUCUCUCCAUAUUCAGAUACAUGACAUUGGCUGUAAGAGCAACUGAGGGCACUAAAUAGUGAUCACGUUUCAAAUAUAGAAUUUAUAAUUAAUUUUAAAUUAAUUUUCAGAUUUAGUACUAAAGAACUUGACCAGAUCAAUGGAUCCAAAGGAUGUGCUUAUUUUCAAAAAGGAAAUAUUUAUAUUUCUCACUGUAGCGCUGAAAUUUUUUGGAUUUGCGAGAAGACAGCUGCCCCAGUGAAGAUUGAGGAUUUGGAUUAGUAUGCUUCUUCCAAAUUCUCCAAGAAGUAAGAGACUUGUGAGUAAGCCCAUAUGAGGAAAGAGGAAACUAUGGUACCAGAGCCAAACCAGCUUUUAAAAUGACUGUGUAUUUACAUUAUCAGACAAAUGAACUUGUUUAACAGAACAUUCUCCAGUUCCUUGUCUGACGUCUUCUGAUUUGAUGUUAUUAUUCAGUCUUAAAAUUAUACCUGGGGACCAAGGGGAAUAGCUAUACUAUGGCCCUAUGAUUGUCUCAGAAUCAUUUCACUGAAUUUCUUUGCUUUCUCAAAUAAAGACUCCUUUCUUUCAUUAUUA